rnacentral:rRNA from 1 species
CCUACGGGAGGCUGCAGUGGGGGAUAUUGCACAAUGGGGGAAACCCUGAUGCAGCGACGCCGCGUGUGGGAAGACGGUCCUCUGGAUUGUAAACCACUGUCCCCAGGGACGAAGAUGACGGUACCUGGGGAGGCAGCUCCGGCUAACUACGUGCCAGCAGCCGCGGUAAUCCGUAGGGAGCGAGCGUUGUCCGGAAUUACUGGGUGUAAAGGGAGCGUAGGCGGGACUGCAAGUUGGGUGUCAAAUCUACCGGCUCAACCGGUAGCCGCACUCAAAACUGCAGUUCUUGAGUGAAGUAGAGGCAGGCGGAAUUCCUAGUGUAGCGGUGAAAUGCGUAGAUAUUAGGAGGAACACCAGUGGCGAAGGCGGCCUGCUGGGCUUUUACUGACGCUGAGGCUCGAAAGUGUGGGGAGCAAACAGGAUUAGAUACCCUAGUAGUC